GACGAACGCUGGCGGCGUGCUUAACACAUGCAAGUCGAACGAAGAAGAAAAGAUUCGAAGCUGCGGCAGAAAGGCACUUGGGAGUAGUGGCAGACGGUUGAGUAACGCGUGAGUAACCUACCCCUUACAAAGGGAUAGCUACCGGAAACUGGGAGUAAUAGCAUAUAACAUUGUGUCGAAGCAUUUCGAUGCAAUCAAAGCUACGGCGGUAAGAGAUGGGCUCGCGUCCCAUUAACCGGAGGGAGAGGUAACGGCUCCCCAUAGCGGCGAUGGGUAACCGGCCUGAGAGCGUGCACGGUCACACUGGAGCUGAGCCGCGGCCCAGAAUCCUACGGGAGGCAGGAGUGGAGAAUAUUGCACAAUGGAGGGAACUCAGAUGCAGCGCCGCCGCGUAAGUGCUGCAGGAAUUCGUAACGUACAGCUCUGUUCUAUGGGAAGAUAGUGACGGUACCAUAGGAAAAAGCACCGGCUAACUACGUG
rnacentral:rRNA from 1 species